CAACAGCCGAAGCGACAACACGUAAAUCCUUGCCGAAGAAAAAAGAAGGAGCUGGAGAGGAGAGAGAGAGACAUUGCGAUUUGUACUUGACAGACGUCGAAGUUCAACCUUCGACUACGAUAUCUACGUGGUGCUGAAACAUUCGCAUACAGGCUCUUAAUUCGUCAUUACGGUGCCUCUUUCAUCGCAGUACUUAUUCAACUUCCAACCACGAAGGACAAGACUUACAUAGCAUCGCACAAUUCGUUUACAGGUACUCAGUGAUGCUGCCACCGCAGUUAUGACCCCCUGGACUCCCCCUGUUCAUCAGGGGGAGUCCAGGGAACCGUCCCCUGGGACAGCGCGGCC
rnacentral:lncRNA from 1 species